GGUUUACUAAAACACAUCAACAUGACUCCCCAUUGCCCCCUGCCCAGCCCCCAGACCCUUCAGCCACUGGCCCUCUUGGCCCCCUCUCCUGCUCCUCCUCCUGGUCGGCCAUCCCAGCAGCAGGCAGGCUGCUUUUCUCCCGGGCGCCUCUCAGCUGAUGGGCGGGUGGGGGGGCUUGCAGGGAGGCCUCCGUGUAGGCCUCCGUGAAGCCUGGAUUCGAGUAGGCUGGCCAGCCCCAGGAAGAAGGCUGGCAGUCCGAGUGGCCGCCACAGCUCUCUGCAGCAGACCCUCUUCCCAGGCCAGACAGCUCAGCCUUGGCCAGGGAGAAGAGGAAUCCCUUGAGGUGGUUCCCCCGCCCCUACCCCCUGCAGGGAUUUGACAAGAUGAACCUAAGCACAGCCCACUACACACCCCUCGCAGCUGCAAUCCCUUGAAAAGAGAGACUGCUGAGUAUGUGAGGCAAGAUCCUCGGCAGACUCAGAGUACAUCUUGCCCCUGGUCAUGGCAUUCAGUAACUGGAAUGAGUCCGGAGCGUCUGAAACCCGCGAGCAUAAAUGGGGGGUUACGUUCCUCUCCCUACCUGCACGGUUGACAGGAUACGCAGAUUUGGAUGGUCCAGGAACCUCAUCUGGGAAAGGAACCAUAAGUGGCUCUUAAUUACCAUCCGGGUCCAGUUUUGGGACAGGAAUUGGAAAAUCAGCUUGAACUGCUUAAGGGUCUCAAGCGACAAAGCUUUUCUGGGAGUCUGGCUUCCUGAGGAAGAAGAAGAAGAAGAAGAUGAUGGGUCCCUCCUGGGUCUUGGACACCUUGGCCCUUGGAUGACCUGGACUGUUGGAGAGACUUAUCCUGCCAAUCUUGAAACCAGCCUCCACUGCAAACUCCAGCCAAACGGACCCGACCCUACUUUGUGGAGACAGACCCUAACCACCCCAAUCUGUCCUGUGGCCCUAACCGGAGAGCACUGCACUUACAGCAGGUGGGCCGAGCAAAAGUCCUGAGGCGCUUCCGCA